rnacentral:snRNA from 1 species
AUCGCUUCUCGGCCUUUUGGCUAAGAUCAAGUGUAGUAUUUUUGGUGCAGUUGUAAAUGGGAUUGUUUAUUUACUUUCCCUUUUGGCUGCUUCAUUAUUAGUGUAUACAAAUGCAAUGGAUUUCUGUGUAUUGAUUUUGUAUCCUGCAACUUUACUGAAUUCAUU